rnacentral:rRNA from 1 species
CCCAGACUCCUACGGGAGGCAGCAGUGAGGAAUAUUGGUCAAUGGGCGCAGGCCUGAACCAGCCAAGUCGCGUGAGGGAAGACUGCCCUAUGGGUUGUAAACCUCUUUUAUAAGGGAAGAAUAAUGACUACGUGUAGUCAGAUGCCCGUACCUUAUGAAUAAGCAUCGGCUAACUCCGUGCCAGCAGCCGCGGUAAUACGGAGGAUGCGAGCGUUAUCCGGAUUUAUUGGGUUUAAAGGGUGCGUAGGCGGUCCGUUAAGUCAGCGGUAAAAUGGCGGGGCUCAACCCCGUCGAGCCGUUGGAACUGGCAGACUUGAGUUGGCGAGAAGUACGCGGAAUGCGCGGUGUAGCGGUGAAAUGCAUAGAUAUCGCGCAGAACUCCGAUUGCGAAGGCAGCGUACCGGCGCCAGACUGACGCUGAGGCACGAAAGCGUGGGGAGCAAACAGGAUUAGAUACCCGCGUAA